rnacentral:tRNA from 1 species
GGUCAGGUAGUAUAAUGGUAAUACAUACGGUUGCAGCCCGCGAAAUGAUGGUUCAAAUCCAUUCCUGGCCU